GGAACAUCAUAUUAUUCACCCAAACAUCACCAUGGUUCAACACAUGAUAACGGUCCGUUUGACUGCGACUGAAAACAUUUAUCAUCUUUGGAAUGAUUUUUUCACCGAAAGUUUGCAAUUUUGACGUCAUGCAGAGGCGAAGGAUGUUCGGAUAUAUUGCUGGGUAAAUGAUGGCGGAAUGUAUCUGAAUUCUACAAAAUUCAAACAAUUAGCAGAGAACCAUGGUGGCUGCGUGGAAUUUGGCCAAUUUCUCCAGUAUCAAACGACAACAUUCAAAAUCCAAUCCAGUCUUAACAUUUUCUAUAAAAAAUCCUUGGAGUUUAAGGUUUUCCAGAACUAUAAUGCGUUCAUCCACAUAAAUUGCUCUAUAAUGGUAAUGAGUAAAAUUAGCGACUAAAUCAAUUUGUUUUUAUGGUAUAUGUAUCUCCAAAACGCUUUUGAAAUUCUGAUAUUACAAAAGGCCUUUAACAGAUUUAAAUACGCAAUAUACCUGCACGAUUGCUCUUAAAUAUUAA